GUAUGAGGUAUAGUAGAUAAUAUAGUCAGGACCUUAAUUUAUUGUCCAGACUAUAUUAUCUACUAUACCUCAUAC